GCAAUAAUCUUAAUUACAAAAGCAAUGUUCCUAAUUCUCCAGAUUCUUAUAUUCCUAAAUGUCUCACCUUACCUUGUUCAUUGUGCAUUUUCACAACUCCAACUUCCAUUACAAACCUUUGGCCCUGACUCUUUUGCUUUCGACACAAAAGGUGGCGGACCUUACACCGGUGUUGGAGAUGGCAGAGUAAUGAAAUAUCAAGGUCCAAAUGUUGGCUUCACUGAAUUUGCUAUUACAUCACCAAAUAGGACCAAGGAAAGAUGUGAUGGCACAAAUGACCCAAUAUCACAACCAAUAUGUGGAAGACCGUAUGGCCUUGGAUUUUACAACAAAACUGGUGACCUCUAUAUAACUGAUGCAUAUUAUGGACUCUUGGUGGUUAAACCAAGCGGAGGGCUCGCUACACCACUUGUUACUAGCUUUGAGGGAACGCCUUUUGCCUAUCUUGACUCACUAGACAUCGACCAGAAAGGGGAAUCAUUUACUUUGUAGAUUCAGGAGCCAUAUUUCGAACUAGCAACAGACUACUAAUUGUUCUAAGCAGAGAUACAACAGGGAGAUUGUUCAAGUAUGAUAUAGCAACAAAACAAGUCACAUUAUUACUAGAUGAACUUUCAGGGGCAGCAGGGGUCGCACUCAGCAAAGACAAAUCAUAUUUAUUAGUCUCGGAAGUUAUUGGUAAAAGAAUUCGGAGAUUUUGGCUGAAAGGUGCAAAAGCAAAUUCAUCCGAUGUUUUCGCCAACAUUGAUGGAAAUCCAGAUAACAUUAAGCGGACUGUGUCCGGAGAUUUUUGGGUUGCUGUUGUCAGCGUGAAAUUAAAGGUGAUCAUUCCCACCAUAAUUUCCACAGGACAAAGGAUGAAUCAGUCAGGAGAAGUCGUGGAAACGCGCGAUUUCACAGCUCAAUAUAAGAGUCUUAAUGGGAUAACUGAAGUUCAAGAAUAUAAUGGCAAACUUUAUAUUGGGUCUUUAGACCAGAACUUCAUUGGUGUUGAUGAUGUCUAAUUUGAUGUAUGUCUUCUGUUUUUACUAGAACAAGCUUUUAUGAUUCAGGCAGCUAAAUGUAUAUUUACAAGAAUAAGCAUUUUCUACACUAAA